AUGCCCUGUGUUGGACGGGCUGCAGCUGGAGCAGUCACUGAGCACGGAGGCCAGAAACCUGUUUUUACAAAAGCUCCCCAGGUGGUUCUGACAACCCCGCUUGGCUGUCUGUGUGCUUUGCUCCGCCAUCUAUCACUCAGUCCCAAGCCUGCCUUCAGACCUCAGUUCAGGGGUGGCUGGCAUUGACCUCAGAGCCUUUUUUGGAGCAAAUUAAUAGCCCAGAAUGUGACCGUGGACGAGGUCAUCGGUGCCUACAAGCAGGCCUGCCAGAAGCUGAACUGCAGGCAGAUCCCCAAGCUCCUCAGGCAGCUGCAGGAAUUCACAGACCUCGGGCACCGCCUCGACUGUCUGGACCUGAAAGGUGAGAAGCUUGACUACAAGACCUGCGAGGCCCUGGAAGAGGUCUUCAAGAGGCUGCAGUUCAAGGUCGUGGACCUGGAGCAGACGAACCUGGAUGAAGAUGGUGCCUCAGCCCUCUUCGACAUGAUCGAGUACUACGAGUCAGCCACCCACCUCAACAUCUCCUU
rnacentral:sRNA from 1 species